GAUGAACGCUAGCGGCAGGCUUAACACAUGCAAGUCGAGGGGUAUAGUAGCAAUACUAGAGACCGGCGCACGGGUGCGUAACGCGUAUGCAAUCUACCUUAUACAGGGGGAUAGCCCAGAGGAAUUUGGAUUAAUACCCCAUAGUGUUAUUUGAUGGCAUCAUCAUAUAACUAAAGUUCCAACGGUAUAAGAUGAGCAUGCGUCCUAUUAGCUAGAUGGUAAGGUAACGGCUUACCAUGGCUACGAUAGGUAGGGGUCCUGAGAGGGAGAUCCCCCACACUGGUACUGAGACACGGACCAGACUCCUACGGGAGGCAGCAGUGAGGAAUAUUGGACAAUGGGGGCAAGCCUGAUCCAGCCAUGCCGCGUGCAGGAAGACGGUCCUAUGGAUUGUAAACUGCUUUUGUACGGGAAGAAACACUCCCUCGUGAGGGAGCUUGACGGUACCGUAAGAAUAAGGAUCGGCUAACUCCGUGCCAGCCGCCGCGGUAAUAC
rnacentral:rRNA from 1 species